rnacentral:rRNA from 1 species
UACGGUAGGGUGCGAGCGUUAAUCGGAAUUACUGGGCGUAAAGCGUGCGUAGGCGGUUUCAUAAGCUUGAUGUGAAAGCCCCGGGCUCAACCUGGGAAUGGCAUUGAGGACUGUGGAGCUAGAGUGCGGCAGAGGGAGGUGGAAUUCCACGUGUAGCAGUGAAAUGCGUAGAUAUCUGGAGGAAUACCGGUGGCGAAGGCGGCAUCCUGGACCAUUACUGACGCUGAGGCGCGAAAGCUAGGGGAGCAAACGGG